GACGAACCGUGCGAACGUUAUUCGGAAUCAUUGGGCUUAAAGCGCGUGUAGGCGGAUUCGUGCGUCUGUCGCUGAAAUCCCCCGGCUCAACCGGGGAACGGGCGCGGAUACGACGAGUCUGGAGGGGCAUAGGGGGACCUGGAACUUCCGGUGGAGCGGUGAAAUGCGUAGAUAUCAUUUGGAACGCCAAUGGUGAAAACAGGUAGCUGGGAGUGUGCUGACGCUGAGACACGAAAGCCAGGGGAGCGAACGGG
rnacentral:rRNA from 1 species